rnacentral:lncRNA from 1 species
AUUUGUUACACUAAAACAACAUCAACAACUAGAUUGUUUUCUCUUUAUUAUGAGGUAUUUUACUCGGACUUUUUAAAUAUACCGAGUAUAAGUCAAAUUCUUCAAAAAUGACGUAUUUUUAAAGGACUUUGGAGGGCCCGAGUAACAUAGAGUUUAUGAGAUAUUCAGAUAUAGAAAUGUGUUUGCCUAGGCGCGGAGUUUUAGAACGACUAAAAAACUUUUAAAAUUUUGGUCCAGAACAAGUCAUAGAUAUUGAAAUGUAUCCUUCUUUUUUAGUCUGACUAAAAAAAGAGAGUCACAUAAAUUGGGACCGAAGGAUCAGUUGAUGUUGAAGCUUAUUUACUUACAAAGAGGGGAAUUUUGGUCAUCAGUUAGUUGAUUUAUUGGAUCUAUUAUUUGUCUUGAUUUAAAACUAAUUUGCGAGUGUUUUUGACCUAUGUUGUUUGAAUUCUUCAAAAAUGUAAACGAGUGCAUGUCAGUUCCUUCAUGACAUAGACGUGGCAACAUGUUUGAAGAGUCCGAGUAACAUAGCUUUUGACAUUACAUUCAACAAAUUUGCAUAUUUUGAUCAAGAAAGUUGACAAAAGAACCACAAAAACUAGUUAAAAGUGCUAAAUUGAGUGUCUUUUUCUUGCUAUAGGUUGGUGAAGAUUCAAACAAUCCAGCAUGGGAUGACAUUGGUUAUCAAGUAGACAAUGAAGAGAACUCUUCAGAAACACCAGAUGAGAGACCUCUUCAGAAGGGAAUCAUCGAAACUAUAUACGAGACAGAAUCAAGCAUUGUAAAAUCUCUUGUCGAAAAAGGCCUAAAAGUCACAGAAGACACAACAAACAACAUGUACAAGGUUCAAUGUGAUGUUGUCAUUGUUGGUUCAGGCUGUGGUGGAGGUGUUGCAGCAAGUGUUCUUGCAAGUUCUGGACAGAAAGUCGUUGUUCUCGAGAAAGGAAACUACUUUGCGAAAUCAGACUAUUCUUCCCUUGAAGGACCUUCACAGUCCCAAAUGUAUGAAUCAGGUGGUAUACUCUCAACUUUGGAUGGUAAAGUUAUGAUCUUGGCUGGUUCAACAGUUGGUGGUGGCUCUGCUGUUAACUGGUCAGCUUGUAUUAAGACCCCUGACUCCGUUAUACAAGAAUGGGGCGAUGAUAAAAGAAUCUCAAUGUUCAAAACCCCCGAGUAUGUAUCAGCUAUGGACAAAGUUUGUGAACGAAUCAACGUGACAGAGAAAUGCACACAAGAAGGUUUACAGAAUCAGAUUCUCCGUAAAGGGUGUGAAAGACUUGGUCUUGAAGUUGAAGGCGUGGCAAGAAACUCAUCCGAGGAUCAUUAUUGUGGCUCGUGUUGUUAUGGAUGUAGAAGAGGUGAGAAGAAAGGAACUGAUACAACUUGGCUAGUCGAUGCUGUGGACUGUGGAGCUGUGAUUAUAACAGGAUGCAAAGCCGAGAGAUUCAUACUCGAAAAGAAAAAGUAUGGGAAAACGAGAAGCAAGAAAUGCUUAGGAGUGAUUUCAACUAGUAUGAAUAAAGACAUCACAAAGAGUAUAUGUAUUGAGGCAAAAGUGACCAUUUCAGCUUGUGGUUCUCUUUUGACACCUCCACUUAUGAUCUCUAGUGGAUUGAAGAAUCGAAACAUUGGUAGAAAUCUCCAUCUUCAUCCAGUCAUAAUGGCGUGGGGGUAUUUCCCCGAGUCAAACUCUGGUCUCAAGGGAAAAAUAUACGAAGGAGGAAUCAUUACCUCGGUACACAAAGUGGGGAGUUAUGAUUCGAAUGUAAGAGCUAUUAUAGAAGCUCCUGCUUUAGGACCGGGAUCGUUUGCUGCUUUAUGUCCUUGGACAUCAGGAGAGGACAUAAAGAAUAGAUUACUCAAUUAUGACAGAACAGCUCAUUUGUUUGCAAUGGUUAAAGACGUUGGGUCGGGGGAAGUUAGGUCCGAAGGAAGAAUUAGCUACACGUUCAAUGGCAUGGACAAAGAAAGUUUGAAACUCGGGCUAAGACAAGCUUUAAGGAUCUUGAUAGCUGCAGGAGCUGCUGAGGUAGGUACUCAACGUAGCGAUGGACAGAGAAUCAAGUGUACAGGACAAAGUGAAAAAGCACUCGAGUCUUUUCUUGAGACGGUCACAGCAGCUGAGGGGCCAAAGUCACUUGUAAAGGAUUUUACAACUUAUUCUUCUGCUCAUCAAAUGGGGAGCUGCAGGAUGGGAAUGAACGAAAAGGACAGUGCAGUCGAUGAAAACGGGGAGAGUUGGGAAGCAGAAGGACUAUUUGUUUGUGAUGCUAGUGUUCUUCCAGGUGCUGUUGGUGUAAAUCCAAUGAUCACUAUACAGUCUACUGCAUAUUGUCUAUCCAAGAAGAUAGCAGAGAUGAUAAAAGACGGAAGAUUCUCAAGAUAAGCGAUCCUCAGCUACUUAUCCUCUUUAUAUAUAUAUAUAUAUACUGUUCCCAUACGAAUUCGUAAUGCCUUGUCCUUCUUUGAUUGUUCAUAUAUUUAUAAUGUUCAUUUAAAAUUAAAACAUAUUGUAUGACUAGUAUGGAUUAAGAGGAUAUCAAUAAACAAAAUAUUCAAGUUUGAUGUAUUUCAAGUGUGUUUUUGACCGUUUUAUUCGUAUAUAUAACACAGAAAUGCAGUUACUAUAUAACUGAACGUGGAUAACGGAUCAUAACAGAAUUGAAUUGAAGCACAAGAAGUGUAAAUGACAUACAAUCAUGAUGUGGUAGAAGAAUGAAGACUUCUUCUGAUAUUUACUAAAAAUUAAUAUAAGAUCUCAGAGAUACAUUUUCUGAUCAUAAUUGAGUUAAGAAUGAGAAAAAUAUACAAACAGGCAUGGAAAUAACAUUAGCUUAAUGCAACUCUUCUUGGCAACACCUUGAGCCAUAAGGCUCGAAUCAUUUGUUAAACGAUCAAUAAAAUGAUGGCGGAUUCUCCACUCACACCAUAAGCGAUAAAGUGCCUCCAACUUGCUGCUGCAGAAACUACUGUUUUCCGCUUAUUCAGAAGCCUGUCUUUGUUAUCCAAACACAGAUCUUAAGUUUCUUCUAGCCAUCAGAGUCUGUCUCGCGGAAUGGCAAUGGAACUGCCUUCACUGCCCUGAACUUUCCGACAUUGUUCAAGUGUUCAUUCUCCAACCUAAACAAUCACAAAUAAAUAGUAAGGAGUCUUGUAUGUUUAGCACAUAAUGUCUUUGCUAGCCUGCUAGGGACUUAGUGUACCUGUAGAAGUUCCAGUGACCACGUCGAAUAACUUCCAAUGAGGCAAGGCAAAAGUCAAGUAAACGCGACUCAAAGAAUCCAACGUUGAAAUGCAUCACUGUCUCCACCCAAGCAACUCUCAAGACCAAAUUCAAAGCCUAUGAUGAUUCAAAAUUUUGAAAAUCUGUUCAGGUAUAUGAUAUUGUUAUAUGUAACACAAAAAACUGUCGAAAGACGAAAAGGACUUACAAUUGAAGCAUAGUAAAUGCUCUUAUUCUUCAAGACUAGUUCAUCUCUGAGCAAAAAGUUCUUGGAUUUCAAGUUAAAGAAUCCCCAGUCCUUAACAAAAUCCCAAUACAACUGAUAAACUGUGGCUAUAACUGAAGUCACCAAGACGAUCGAGAACCAUAACUGUGAGUCAGGCUCUCUUGCAUAAGUUAGCCUAGCACCAGCUGCUACCAUAGCAGAAACAUACUUUCCCAAGUUAGCUAAGUGAUUUAUGUCAGACUCUUCGAACCAUCUCCUUGCACACUAGAUAGAUAACAGAACACACGAGUUAAUUCACUCCGAAAACUGUCAAAGUUUGAAUCUUUAGUUGUUACCAUAUUUACCUGCAUUGCUCGCCAAUAAUAUGGCGCGAAAGAGAUAACAUAAGCAAGUUCUCUGUACAUCCUUCCAGAUUUACACAUUGGAAGUCCAUGAGCUGUCAAACUUCCAGCAAGAAAAUAGCAAGCUGAAGACUCCAAAUGCCUCAUCAAUGGGAUCUAAACACAGGAAAACAUUCGUAAAGUUAAGAAUGCAACUUUGUGGAUGUUCAUACUUUGCUCUGUAGUCUUUUAGUUAUCAUAUAGUUCCUAUAGUAAAGACUAUAUGUCAUCAGUUGUGACGUUUAUGAAGAUUCAACCCCCUCGGACACUUAAGCAACCAGUGUGAUUGUGUCACACGGAGACAACUUCACCGUUGCUCCAAAGCAUAGAAGAUAGUAAGGUUAGCUAACCUGGCUUGUUAGUUGAUCAGCCAUGAAAAAGUCUACCAUGAGGACCUGCAUCAAUAUCAUUAUAUUUGAGAGGUCAAGAAUCAUUACUCAAACUACGCCGUUCAUGAUUUUCAGGAUGUGAAAGUACCUUGUAGAACGGAGAGCAGACGAUGUUACGUAUCACUUUGAGGAAGUAGAAGCGCGUUGGACGAUAGAAAACGUUCAACGGACAUAUCAGGAGAGCAAGAAAAGUCUGAAAAAAUGCAAAGUGCAGGAUUAGAAAGGGAUGCAUUUGAGUCAUUUCAACAUGAAUGUUAGUACUAGUAAACAAGAUUUUCUUUCGGUUAACAAACCAGUAGUAGAAUUCCAGGAAUUGCAUCGACUUGGCUCGGAGAAAAUCCAUUAGAAAGUAAGAUCAAGUGAACAACAAGAGCUCCAACAACAGAAGUCAUUAAACAAGUUCCUAUGAGGAAUGCAUCUCUGUAUUUGAGAGCUGUUUUAGGUUGAAACUCAAAUAUGAAGUUGUAAUUGAUCCUUGUGCCUUUCCAUAGGAACAAAUUGCAUCCAUACAUGAACAAAUGCAAGCUUAGCAAUGCAAACAUGCUGCACAACAUUACACAAGUAAACUCAUCUUUAGUAUUCGUAAAGAUGUAACUUCGUUUACACUAUUACUGUAAUUUAACAUGUCAUAGCACGUUACAACAACAACAUAUCCAGUGUAGAUCCACAAAGUGCGACUCUAGGGAGGGUACAGUGUACGCAGACCUUACCCCUACCUCAGAGGUAGAGAGGUUGUUUCUGUUAGACCCUCAUCAGCUCAUGGAAAAAACAAAGCUUUCAAAAUAGUAAUUACAACAAAUCGAAGUACGAGUAACAACAAAAUUCAAUGUCGGAGCCACGAAUUUCACAAAGGGUGUCUAGAAAUAGCACAACAAAAACUCUACUAAAAAAAAUAGAACUAGUAAGAUUCAUACACACGAGCACUUCCUCAUUCCAGGGACGUGAAACCACUGGGCUAUAACAAUUUGUUAGGUUAAGGAUGUCCAAAAUAUAUUAUUUAAUUAUUUUACUUGUGUAUACGGUACUUUUUCCCAAUAGAGGACAAGAAACUAUAGGAGCAGUACUACGACUACUACUAGUAUCGAAGUAGUACUACGAUUACUAACAUCCUACUAUAAUUUGUCUCCUCGCUCCUAUCUAAGGUCAUAUCACUUGUUAUAGCAAGUUAUUUCACUUUAUUUUUCAGGUAACUAGUUCGACUUAUUAAAAAAGUCUUACAUGAUAGAAAAAGAAACCAAAAAUUAAUUUUGAGAGAAUAUAAGUAUGUUCCUUCACAUAGCUUAACGAGUUUAAGUUUUAUACACCAGUGAUGUAACGAUAUAUUCUUAACCAAUCAUGUCACUUAUAAGACAGUUACGUAUAAAUCGCGUUUGUAACGAAAAUAAAUUACCAAAGUCACAAAUUAUAAAAAGAAAAAGACAUUUUUCCAUAAAUUAUGUCAAUAAAGAGGGAAAAAAACAUGAAAAAUAAUGUGAUUAAAAUAAGAAAAAAGUACCUGAAAACAGGGUAAACAGUUUCAACAUAAGCAGCUUCAGUUCUUGUAGAAAACAUGCCAGUCAAAUGGGCCAAAAUUGCGUAUACACUAAAUAAUGUCACAAAACAACCUGUGAAAAGCCCUGCAAAUCGAAAAAAUCGAUAAAAAAUAUUAGUCGUAUUUAACUUAUAUACAUUGCCAGUAUAAAAAAGAAUUACACUAUCGAUGUAUUUUACGUGUUCAAUGGACCUUUUUUAUUACUAGUGUGCAAGUGGUUUUUAAUUUGAGCUAGAAACGCCAAAUGAGCUGAGUUAAUAAAUGCGAUCGAUACAACGACCCUUCUAACUCAGAAUCACUUCAAUACUUUUUCUCUUUUUUAAUUUGUUCUUUUAAAUUUCUAGUUGCAAUUUAAUUGGUUAAAGAAAUUGUUUUUUUUUCUAGAAUAAAGUAAAAUUAUACUCUAUAUUGCUAAAUAUAUUUCUUGUGGGACAAAAUUAUCUUUUGAGUUUAUGUGAGCUACUAGUAAUGUAAACCCCAAGCAAUUGACAACUUCAUUAUCAAUUAGUUUAUUUGAGUGACACCUUCACCCUCUUUUUUUUUCACUCGGUAUACGAGUCCCAUAUUGAAGUUCCGAUUAAAUUUUAAUCGCAUUGUAGGACCCUUUCGGGGUAGCUUUCUUAACAUAAUUUUCUCUAUACUUAGGACUCGAACCUUGAAUAAGUACAUUAGUCACCCAAUUCUCAUGUUUAAUAUUCUUUUUGUUCUAUAUUAGUUGUCAUAUUUUGAUUCUCUAGAGUUAAUUUGAUAAUUUUCAAAAUUAAUUUUUUUAAGAAACAAGGAUUAUUAUUUAUAUAUUUAAUUUGUUUGUUUUGUUGUUGUUCUGUUCCAUAUUAGUUAUCAUAUUUUGAUUUCCUGAAAUCAAUUUAAUUAGUUUUUUUAAAGUUAAUUAAAAAUAAACAAGGAUUAUUAUCUACCUAAACUUUAUAUUGCUCUAUUUUCUACACACCUAAGUGCUGACCUGUCAUGGGAGGUGUUGUCAUCGCCUCUAGGCGCGUCAGAAGUAGAAAUUUGACGAAAAAUUUCUUCUUCUCCACUGGUCAUCUUCCCACCUUUAAAAAAACUAGUGUUUCUUCUUCCAUACCAUUAAUCCUUGUUCCUUUUGUAAAAAAAAAUCACGAUUUCCUCUCAAAAUUAAGUAGGAUUUAGUUGUUAAUGUUCAUUUCUACUUCAAAUCUUGAAUUUAGGGUUCGUAAUCUGCUCUAAUUUCUUAUUUAGGUCCCUAAUUUAAAUUUUUGAAUUUUCUCAAAAUUCAUCAAAAAUGUCAAACGAAAACUCGAAUAACGUUGUAUGGAUGAAUCAGACCCAAUGCUCAACGUUGUAGAGAGAUACAAACACGAAUUUUGAACCCUUUGAUGAAGAAGACCCACUUAUUGAAAUUGUUGUAAAUAUCAAUUGAGUUUCUUAUAUCAAUCUUUGAGAAAUGUUAUAAUAGUGGAAGAAGAAACAAUAUCAGCGAUAGAGUUUUUAGAACGAGAUUUCUUAGUGUUUAAAAUUACGAUGAAGGUUGAAGAAGCAGUAGUCGUCAAAUCUAGAAAAGCUUCAAAGAAAAAGAAAUGGAAAAAUGAAAAAGAAAGAGAAAAGGAGAAGUGAAUAUAUAAAGCAAAAAAAAUAUAUAAAAGAAUAAUUAGAUUUUUUUAUACAAAAAAAGAGUAAAUAUUACGUGGCAGCGCAUGUAGACCUCUGCCUAAUAUAAAUCUAGGCAUGAGUUUAUAGGAGACUAGAUAUUUUACUUAUAAAAAAUUCAGGAAAGUGAUAGGACCCCGUAAAGAAUAAAUGUUGAAAAUUCGAUAAUAGCACAGGUAGACUUUUGACCGUUUAAUUUUUUUUUUUGGUUGUUGAAACUUUAGUGAACUUUAUUUGUACCUUUUAUUAAGCACUAACAUAUGCAUAUAUAGAUUGAUCUAGAGAAACAUGUAAAAAAAUGAAAUUUUAUAAAAAAAUUUAAUAAUGGGGUUGGUGAGUGAAGAAAUUUACCAACAAAAAAAGUGACCAUAUGAGAUUCUUUAUUCUGUUGUGGUCUUAAAAACUUCAUUGCCUUUUUCCUGUCACUGUUUGCAAAGUGCUGUGUGAAUAAGGACUCCACUUCAUCCAUUAAUCUAACCACCUUCUCACCAUUAUAACAAAACAAAAAAAUAAUAAUAAAAAUAUUAUAAAAUUAGUACAUACAUUUUCUACCUUAUCUUAUAAAAGCAACCAUUAACUCAUUAUUAAACAUUAACAACAUUAUUUUCAUGAUAGAUUUAUCUUUCUAUAUUGCUUGGACUCGAGUAUGGGACCUACUCGAUACAGGUUGCAGAUCUAAUGAUCCGAUUCUUUAUUAUAUAAAAUUUUAGGAUUCAGAAUGUGAAUGAGUGUAUGAUAUGGUACGGUCUAGAUAUAUACAUAUAAUAUAUCCAAUUAUGUGUAUUAAUACUAAUGCGACAGAUACUAUUAUAAAAUAUGAAAUUAGCGGUAAAAUCUAUAGCUAAAUGGGAUUAGCAAUGAAUUUUUAUUGUUUAGCUACGAAAUUUUAUCUAUUAAUAACUUUUUAAAAUAUAGUGAAGAACUUCUAAGGAUCCGAGCAAUAUAGUUAGCAUAAUGACAUGAGGCCUAUAUUUUUUACUUUUAACAACAAUCAUGACAACAACACGAAAACAUAAAAUGUAAAAAAUAUUGAACUAUAUAUAUUAUUUGAUACGACAAAAGUCAUUUUUACGAACGCGAUUAUUCAUAAAGAUAAUGAUGUAUGUUUAUAAUUUAUACGUGAAAUUUACCUUAUCAGAGCUGAUGAAAUGUGAUCUUUUUACUUGUUUAAGGUAAUUUGCUGAUGAUUGCUGUUUAGCUACCUGUUUGAUAAUGAAAAAAAGUAUAUUAUUACAAAAUAUUUUACGUGUCAUAUGUAUUUAUUGAUUUGAUAUAAAUACUGACGUUUUAUUAAUUUUUUAAUUAUAUGCAAUGUACUAAAACAAUAUAUUUACCUUGUCAAACUUUUUAAGUAUCUUCACGAAAGCAACCAUAUUUAGUGAGCUGAAAAAAAAGAGUUAAAAAGUGAAAUAAUUAGAACUAAAUUAUAUAAAGUAAAUAAAUACGUUCAAGAAACUUCUUCUAUAGCUAAUGAAAAAAAAAAAUUGAUCAAAAGGUGACAAAUAAUUUAGCCAAAUAUAGAGAAAUUGAAAAGGAAAAAAAAAAGAGUUAAAAAAUAUUUGAUACAUAUUUUGUCAUUUUCUUAUUGCUUUAAAAAAAAAUCCUUUGUAAAAGAUACACUUUAUUUGUUUGUUACAUGUUUGUUUCUAAUAAAUAAUAAAUGAUUGCUAUAUAAAGUCAAAAUAAUAUUACGACAUAAAUCUAUUAUAUUACGAAAACGAAAUCUCGACUAUAACAAAAAUACAAAUAUAUCACAAUCCUAAAAAGAGUAAAGUGUUUUUGUUUUUUCAACAUCAAAGAGCUAUAUAUGAUUUUGACAUAUAUAUAUAUAUAUAUAUAUAUAUAUAUCGUGUGAAAUAAAUAUAUAUAAUCAUCAUUGUAAUUUAAUAUGUUAUAAUACGUAUCCAACUAUGUUAUAUACCACUUUAUUCUAGUUCACUAACGAAGCCUAUCAAAUGAUCUGAUCUUAAAAUACUUGAUCGUGUAAAUAUUUUUAUGAUUCUAUCAAUACGUAGAACUGAACUCUUGAGUACCAUGAUGCUAGCUACCAUGGUAAUAGAAGUUUAAAUUCUACAUAGUACUAUCGAUAUAUAUAUUGCAUUUUUUAUACGAUUAUCAUUACCAUGGUCAAAUCAAAUUGUGUCAACUAAAAAAAAAUUAUAUUUUGUACCACGAUAAAUAUAUAUUAGGAGUACUACUUAAUAUUCAUGUAUAUCAAAAUUCUGAACACUAACAAUAUUCUUAGUGAAAUUCCUGAUUUUCACGUGGUCUUUUAUAUACAUACUAUAUGCAUGCAUGAAAAUAAUUUAGCGACAGAUUAACGACAAACCUGUAAGUUUUGAGUAAGCCAAGGCCUCUAUAGAGUUCAACAAAAGCACUUCUAAUCAUUUUUUCAGCACAUUGUAUUUUCUUCUUGUUGAUAUAUUCUCUAGGUCCAUCUUUUUUAGGGUUAUUAACUAAAUCUUCCCAUAACAUAGAUGUAACAGCAGCAAUUGUACGUGUUGGUGUUGUUGCUGGAAUAUCAAUCCUCAUAGCAACUUUUGGUUUUCCUCCUUUUUUUGUCUUAGCUCUUGUGCUUGCUGAAUUUACAAAAUUUAUCCCAUUUUUCUCUAGUGCUGCUAUCACUUCUUCUGUUUGUGUCCCUGUUGGACUUUCACAAUCACUUGGUGUUUCUACGUACACAAAAAAAAAAAAGAAUGUUAUUCGAGUUAUGAUUCAAAAAUAAAGUCAGACACAUGUCGAAUCUUUAGUUACUAUGUUGAUUGGAUCCUUUAAAAUUAUUGUCCUAAUUGUGUUGUAUAGUAGAGGAGACAAGAUAUCAAUAAAAGGGUUUAUAUAUACAUGUUGGUCGGAACAUUCAAAAAAUAAAGUCAAACACAUAUCGUUGUUGUUUUUAGUUACUGUGUUGAUUGGAUCCUUUAAAAAUAUUGUUCUGAUUGUGUCGUAGUAGUGGAGGUGGGAUAACAAUAAGGGGUUGGAUCAUAAAAAACGAAGUCAGACACAUAUCGAUUAAUCUUUUGAAUGUGCAUAGAUUUUGUUGUUGUUUUUAGUCAUUACAUUGAUUGGACCCUUCAAAAUAUUGUCCCACUUGUGUCAGAGUAGCGGAGGUAGAAUAUCGAAAAGAGGGUUUAUCAAUUAAUAUAUAUAUUGACCUUAUAUAUACAAUGUAUUUUAUAGCCAAAAAAAUAAAUAAAUAUUAUUCUGCUCCUGUCGUGUUUGAUCCUAAAAAAUUACACACCUUAUAUAUAUAAUGUAUUUUCUAGCCAAAAAAAAAAAAUUAAAUAAACAUCAUUCGUCGUGUUUGAUCCUAAAACACUACAUAUUUUUUAGAAGAUUAUUUGACACACAUCAAACAAUACAUUUAAAGAAUUUAUCAAUUGAACAACAUAUAUGGAAUUCAUAAAGAAAUAAUUAAGUUGAUAUUCUAGAAAGAAAGAAAAAAAUACUUUUUGAUUUUUUAAAGUUUUAUGCCUAUGUGGCUGGGAAAGUAAUACGUACACAAUUAAAUUACAUAAUUUUAUGUGAAUCUCUAUAAUAAGUUUUAAUUGAUAACAUAAUAGACUAGAUGAUACACUUAACUAACAUCUUGUUAAUUGGUUGGACAAUAUAGUACUAAUUAAUAACGUAAAAGAAAUUAUACAAUCGACGUAUAUAAUUUAAAUUUUUUAGAUACAUAUUACGUAAUUUUUCAAAUUUAAAAUUGUUAUAGAGUUUGAAUUUCUUAAGGUGGACAUUUUUAUUGAACAAUAUAGUACUAAUUAAUAACGUAAAAGAAAUUAUACAAUCAACAUAUAUAAUUUAAAUUCUUUAGAUACAUAUUACGUGAUUUUUCAAAUUUAAAAUCGUUAUAGAGUUUGAAUUUCUUAAGGUGGACAUUUUUAUAUGAAAAAUAUUGUGGAAUCCACUAAUAUAUUAUCAAAUAAGAAUUGAUUGAUUUGUUGGAAGAAAAAUAAAAUACAAUCUUUGUAUUUUUGGGACCACCAUGAUUUUUAUAUAAAUGGAGGAAACUAUUCACACUUAAUUUAGCCAUAUUAUUUUUUUGAUAAUUCAUUAAAAUUAGGAAAAUAUGUCUUGUAUUAAUGCAAAAUAUUUUAUGCAUAAUCUUUUUCAAAAAAUAAUUAGACAUUAAACCCAAGCUAGUUGGACAAGUAUUCCCAAUAAUAAACUUAAACGUGUUUAAUUUGGCUAUUUUUAAAAUUGCCCUUAAAAUAUACAAACAUCGCAUGAAGUUUAUUAAGAAAAAAUAAACUUGUUUUACUAACUUAUCAUAUGAUAUGUUUAAGUAAAGAAUGAAAAAAAUUAGAUAACUCACCAGAAAAAUCAGAGUUCCGUCCAGAUGAUGAGUGAGAUCGACUGAAAAACCCGGAACCAGAUCCAGACCUUGACCGGAGAGUUUUCCGACUCCGGUCACUGAGAACUUGCUUGAGGUCCAAUAGUAUUUGAAGCUGUUUAUUGAGAAUAUCGCCUCUUUCAAGAAACUCACUCUCUUUCGUCUUGUAAAACUCAUUCACUUUUUUCAGCUCUUCAUCCAACAUCUCAAAAAAUAGCCUCACCUACACAUGCAAAGUGAAAGUUUUUCAAUAUCGCUCUUUGUAAUUUCAAAAAAUAAUAACAAUCAACGACGAAUAAUUUUUUAUCGCUACCAAUAAAAGUCUAUAGGAUGAUCAUUAGCAAUAGACUAUCAAAAAUGUUAUAUAAGUGUUACCUAGUACCGAUGAUUUUCGUAGCUAAUUUUAAUUAUUUUUUUUUAAAAAAAUAUUAUAUAUAUAUAUAUAUAUAUAUAUAUAUGCAUAUAUUAUUUUUUUUUAAAUAUUAUAUUAUUGUUAUUAUUACCUCAUCUUCUUCAGAAAACAAUUGAACAAGCUCAUUUUCAGUUUCAUAUAUUUCUUCUUGCUCUUCUUGUUCCUCUCCAUUUUCUCCUUCUUUAAUUAUACUCUUCACCUAUAAUAAAAAAAAAUAUAUUAAAACCAAUAUGAAAUAUAUCAACAACUUUACAAAUCCUAACAAAAAUUUCCCAAAUAAUAAUUAAAUUGUCAUUUUCAUUUUGACCCCCUUUUUUUUAUGGUUGUUGUACUUGUUUCAACUAUUCACGAUAAUUUCAUGAUACUAACAUAAAAAAAAUUUUAAAAAAAAACCGUUUCAUUUUAUUGCCUUCCAUGCUAAACCACACACCCCUUGAAAUUAAAUCUUCUUGAUUAUAUCGAAACUAACGAAUCUAUCUGGAGAUAAUAGAAUGUAUGCAUACCUUACCUUUCUGUUUCUGAUAUUAGGACGUAUGCAGACGUUAUCCUUCUGAUUCGGAUAUUAGUAUUAAUAUGAAGAAGAAGAAAAAAAACAACAUUUUCAUGAAGGAGAAGAAAAGGUGGCAAAAAGCAAGAAUAUACAUUUGAUACUAUUGAUACUAGUGGUGUUGCCUAGCCAUAGACUAUAUUAUAUAAAUUAAAAUAUUUUUAUAACUUUUACCUCAAAAUAGCAUCACCUUUCCCUUUCUUUUUACAAACAAUAUGACAAAAACAAACUACAAUAUAAUUACAAAAAAAAAAAAAAGACAUACUUGAGAAACUUCAUGAGAUUUAUGAAACUUCAUGUGAGAUGUCAUAGUGAAUGAACGAAUCGAGUCGAAUAUGGAUCGACCAAAAUCAUGAAUAAGUGAAGAGUUUCCAUCAUGAACAUGAUGAGGUUUUCUUGAUAUUUUGAUUUUCUUAACUUGUUUUUUUAGUUGCCAAUAAUUUACAAAAGCAUCUUUCCAUUCUGGAAUUAGUUGUGCUUCAAGUUCUUUAGAAAACUUCACCAUUUUUUUUUCUUUUGAGGAAAAAAAGGAGAAAAAAAAAGGAGGAAAAGGAGGGGAAAAAAUUAAUUUUUAGAGAUGAGAGACAAUAAGAGGAAGUUUACAAAGAUUAUAUAGAGGGGUACGGAAUGGAGAGUGUUUGAAAAAAGAGACAAAAGUUAGUAGUAUUCCACCAUUCUCCGUCUCGAAAUAUUUGUCACGUUUUAUUUUUCGAGAGUUAAAACAGAAUAAUUUUAAUCAAGAUACAGUUUUUUUAUCAUAUUAAUACAAUAAAAAUUAACUACUAAAAAUAAUGCAAAAAUCGAUAGACGAAUCUGUCCCGUCCCAUAAUAUUUAUCAUACUUCAUUUUUCGAGAGUUAAACCAGAUUAAUCUUGAUCAAGAUAUAACUUUUUAUCAUGUUGAUAUGAUAAGAAUUAACUACUAAAAACAAUGGAAAAGUCCUGUCCUAUAAUAUUUAUGAUAGUUUUAUUUUUUGAGAGUCCAACUAAAUUGAUUUUGACUUAAAAGAUAUAUUUUUUAUGUUAUGUUAAUAUGAGAAAAAACAGCUACUAAAAACAGUGCAAAAAUCGAUUGUUGGAUCUAUACAAAAAAUCGAGAAAAAAUAAAUCAUAUCCAUCGAUUUUAUUUUUUAAAAAAAAAAAACAAAAGAUCGACGGACGGGCUUUGGUGUAAUUCUUUUCACGUAAAAAUAUGUGGAAAUUAUAAUUUUUUUAAAUUAUUCUUUAAAAGAAAACUGACGUAGUCUUUAAAUUUUUUAUUAUAUCUUUAUAAAAAGAUGACGAACAUGAUCGAUUUUUGACGUGUAAAAUUGUAGUUGAAGAGAGUACGAAUAAAAAUGAUGGAAACUUUUUUUAUCAAAAAACAUGUAUGAUUGAGUGAUAGAAUUGUCAAAAAUCAUUUUUAAAAAAUAUCUUAAUUUGAUUUAAAUAGCUAUUACUUUUAAUGUAUAUUUUUGAAAAAUUAACCAUGAUUAUAGAUUUUGGCCCUCAAUUUGACUAAUGUUUUAGCUGUAAAUUGCAAAGUAAUUGUAGUGUUUGUUUUUUUAGAGAAUUUUUAAAUAUUUGAAUUAUAAUUUUAAAAUACUCAAUUUAACUCGAUAAAUUAAUAUAUUAAUUAUUAAAAAGAAAAAUAUAUCAGUAGACAGUAAAUAGUGGUUGCCUUAGCUUGUUUCUUAUUUUAAUUAAUUAAUUUUUAGAAGCAUAUAUAAUGGUUUGGUUACCUUUUGACACCAGAAAAAAGGUGAAAAGGUAAUUAAUUUUCUUAAUAGAUAUUGGUCAAAAAAAAUUUAAAUUUUUUAAAAAUAAUAUUGUUAUAAAGAUAAAUAUGAGUGUGAGUAUAUAUUUAUAAAGACUGAGAAAAUUAGACUCUUUAACUAAUUGUAAUAUUACAUUCAGGAGCGGCUCAAACAUAUUAGUGGUCUAAAGCAAAAAUCAAAUGGGGCCUUAUAUUUGAAUUGUUUAUAACUUUUAUAUAAUUGCUUUCUUCUAGUUUUCAGUUGAUAAUAUAACCAUUCUUAUUUUAAAUUAUUUUUUUAUGAGAUAUAGUACUCCAAAUAUGUCAAUUUUUUCUAAUAAUUCCUUCAUUUUUCAUGAAAAGUUUACUUUUUCUACAAAUAGUAUUCAAUAUUCGUUAAAAAGUAAUAAUUUAUAACCUAUUAUUUUUAAAAAUGGGGCUUCUUAAAUUUAGGGGCCUAAGACACAUAUCUUUUUUUAACACUAUCGAGUCACCCCUGAUUACAUUUACUUUUUAUCAAGUUCAUAAAUUAAGCAUUUUGUUCGAUCAUAAAAUUUGAUACACUAAUUACCAAAAAGUUAUGUUAUAAACAAAAUAUUGACGUUAUCAUACAACUAUCGAUGUUGAAAAUUUAAUAUACAUAAAGAAAAAAUGUUUUCUUUUUAUUUUACUUUUAUCUAUUUUUACUUGUCUAUUAUAUUAAAAAAAUAUUUAAUUUUUUUGUUUGUUCACUUUUUAAAAUUAAAAUAUAUGCACUUAAUUUCUAAUUUAUCUUUGUUACUAACUAUACUUAUUUUCCUAAAUCCUAAUGUAUUUCAACAAAAGAUUAAACUUAAUAUUUUUUUAAAAAAGUAAUCUAUAAUAAAAAUAUUAUUUAUUUGUUAUUCUUUUUGUAAUAUGACAAAAGACAAGUAAAAUGAACGAUGAUAAAAAUUGUGUACUCAAAGGGUUUUAGUUGAAUGUUUUUCUUCUUAAAUGGAUAUAUAAAUAUAAUUGUUGAAUUUUCUUAAUAUAAGAAAACCUUUAGUUUUUAGGUUGAUUUUUGUUUUUGAUUUAUUUAAUAUCUGAUAUUUGUGUUUGAAUUUGAUUAAUUUAAAUUAGCAUAUUAUAAGGUUUAUUUUCGAGAAAAUUCAACAGAGUUUUUUUUUCAUCCACAUAAGCUUGAACUAAAUUUUUUUUUACUCGUUUAUUUAGAAAAAAAAUUAACUAUUUUGACUAGUGUGUCACCUUUUUCCUUAUUUGUUCUUGUACUUGUUUUACUUUACUUAUGUAAAUUAUAGAAAGAGAUUAUGAAAUAUUAUUUUUUUUUUUUAAAAAAAAAGGAAUUUAUGUUUGUUACGUUUUGUUUCAACUUUUUUUGCCUUUUUGUGCAAUAUAGUUGUAUCUAUAAUUAAAAAACAAUUUUUUGAAGAAACAUUAUGUGGAAUAAAGUUGCUAAUAUAAAAAAUGAUUUAUCGGUGGAAGUAAACAAAAAGUUUUCAUAUUUUAUGGAGCUUUAAUUUAAAAGUUUAUAAUCUAUGACCAUAUAUAAACUUGAAAACCUAUAAAAUAAAGUUUUAUUGUUUCAAGUUAGUUAUUUUUUUUCUUUAAUUGGAUUUUGAGUAUUCAAAACAUUUUCAUAAAAAAUAGUCAUGGUAAUUUCUAGAAUGUUAAAUUAUGAACUCUCUCACUUAUUUAGGUGAAUAGAUUUACCCCUACAAGUAAUAUAACUUAGGAAGCUAAAACAAACUUUGAAGACCUGAGAUUUUUCUUUUCUAAAAGACUGAUUAAUAUGAAAAAAGCGAAAAAUAAUAAAGUUGAUUAAUCUAUUAAUGAAUUUUUAGCUAUCGUGUAAAAUAGAAAAUAUCCAUCUAAUAUAAGACAUAUUCUUUCUUUUAGUCUGGGGGCAUUAGUAAAAGAUCUAAGCGGUCUUAGCUCCUUCUUUGGUUUUGCCGCCCUUGCCCUUCUUCUCUUUUCUCUUCUUUUAGAAGAUGUCCGUGAUCGGAACGACUUCUGGAGUAAUUAACAAAAUAAAUUUCUCAUCUUAAUCUUUUUAUCUAAUAAAAUAAAAUCAAUUAAACUUGUGAAUUGUGAUCAAAUGAUUCAGAACUCUCCGCCUUUGAUCAAAAAUCUCGUACUCGACCCUUCUAAAAUUGAAAAAAAAUAAAUAUGUUCAAAGCACCGCUCCUAAAAAAUUACUCUCCAUAACAGCCUGAUACAGCCCAAAAAACAAUUCUACUCUUUAUUUUUAAUGAUUUUUAACAUGUAUUAUUAGUUUGUAUACAAUAUACAUUGAUUAUACAUGUCAAUGUUAAACUCCUUAUAUAAAUUUUAAUAUAUAUAUAUAUAUAUAUAUAUAUAUAUAUAAAAUAAAUACGAGAUUUAAAUUCAAAUUUGAACUUCAUAAUAAUGACAGUAUUUUUUAAAAAAAAGGUUCCGGAGACUAAAAAGUGGUUAUUUAUGAAAUUUAUUUUAAGGUUUCUUAAUCAUUAUUUUUCUUUCUUAAUUUGUAUAUUAAUUGUUGACUAUGGUCCCUCUACCUACAUUUUAUGAAGUUGGUCAAAUACAUUUAAUUUUAUUGAUUAAAUUGUCACUUGUCAUAAUAUAUAACCAUUUUUAGCCAUAUAAUUAAUUGAAAAUUUGUGAUUCUUUCUAUAUACACUGUAUCAUUUAGCUUUAACAAAACUAUCAUGUGACUCUUCUAACAUAUUAUAGUAUUUUAUUAUAUUAUUUAAGUCAAAACCAAACGUGUUGAAAAUUAUAUAUGGAGGAAUUUAAGUCUUAUGAUUGUUUGAAUAAUUAACUUGUCUAUAAUUCCUGAUAAGAUGUUUAAUUUGAUUAUCGUCUUUAUUAUAUUUACGAGGUAAUAAUAAAAUUUAUAUAGAUUUUUCUAUUCAGAUUUUAUUUUUGAAAUUGCAAUUAUUAUUUUAUUGUGAACUUCGGGGUAUUGUAGUAUUUUUGUUAUUUAGGUUUAAUUUUUUUUCUAUGAAUAAUAUAAAUUUAUACUUGCCUGGCAUAAUUUGACCAAUUAAUGAUUUUUUACGUCAUAAUUAUAUAUAGUUGAAGAGGUAAAUUUUUGUGUUAUUUUUUGAAACUAUUUUAAGUAAUUCUUUAUUAUUGAUUGUACUUCGACCAAAUAAAUUUGAAGAGUCUUUGAGGAUAAUUACAUUACAUAUAAGCUAAUAAAAAUUAAAUUGAAGUAGGAAAUUUAGAUUAAUAUCAAGAUGAGAUUAAAAUAUGUAUUUUUAUACAUAAAAUAAUUUAUUUAAAAGAAUCAUAAGUGUUACUCUUUUUGUCCCUAAUUAGCGGUUUGAUUUUUUCCUUUUUUAUUUGUUUUUUUUUAAUUGUCCAUUUUGAUGAAUGGAUAAUUUUUUUUUUUACCUAAUUAGUUAAGUAAUUUUAGAAAAGGUAGAACUUCUUGAAAAAAAUCUUAAAUUAUUUAAUUCGUCUAUUAAAUAAUUAAUAGACAUAAAAUGAUAAACUCAUUAUGUUAAAAAAAAUUUUAAUGAAUAUUUUAAUUUAAAAGUGAACAAAUAACUAGAAACGUAAAAAAAAUAUUAAGCUAGUCUUUGUCUAUCAAUAGAUAAAAUAUUUAACCGAUUAUACGCAAACGUUAUUCUUACAUUUGCAAUAAAGUGUAUGCAAAACCGUACAUAUAUAUAUGAUAAUAAAUAGGCAAAAUACAAUAUUAAAUUAAACAGUAGUUUCCAUGUGUUUAUUGUUUUCUUUAAAUCUAUUUAAUUUUGUUUAUUGGUAACUUUAAAAUAUCUUUAAAAGUUACCUGCCGUGUGAAAUAAAAUUAAAAUAAAUAUAGGAUAAUUACCCACCUAGCUCGUUCUAUGGUUCAAAUUUACGUAGACGCAUUAUAUAUUUAUUUAUUUAUUUAACUUUAAUAGUUUAAUUAAUUGUACACUUUUUAAUUUGAAAUUGCCCAUUAGUGUAUAGUCAAAAUUAAUGAUAACCUUAUCCUUAUUUUGGCUAUGAAAUGAUUUGAGUCUUUUAUUUUUUUGACGUUUCCAGUAAAAAAUUAAGUAAAAUAACUUCAAAUUAUUGUUUCUAUUCCAUAUUUGUUCCUUUUCAUAUUCACUGAUCAAACUUCAUAUUAUCGAGGACAUGAAGGUCAAUCGUGUAUCAAGAUACAAGGUUGAUAAUGAAUAAAGUGUUAUCUUGCGACGGAUCGUGUGUAGUACUGGCCGUACAUUUUUAGUUAUUGCCAUAUGUUGUUUAUUGUAUUUCAACUAUCACAUUAUAUUUGUUGAUAUUACCGUUCUUUCUUGUAAACUUUACAUUACUUAAUUUUCUCAUUAACGGUUAUGCUUCUUCGCUGCUCUCUUUUUACUCGUACUUCUGCUUGAUGUACUUGAGUUGAAGGUCUAUCGAUAACAGUCUCUAUUUUCUCGAGGUAACAGAUGGUUUACAUAUACCCAACUUUCUCUAAAUCUCACUUUGUGGAAUUUUACUGAAUAUAAGCUCUUGAAAUGUUUGUGACCAAUUAUUAUUAAUCCAAAAUAAAAGUUGGAAGAAUGAGUAUAUGAGAAAAUGAGAGAAAUUAGGACCAAUCAUAAAAAAUUUUAAAAAAAGAUUAUUUUUUUUAAUUUUUUAAUUUUUUUAUGAUUGAUAAUACAUUUGGUGGGAAUAUUAAAAGGCAUAUAAUAGAAAUAUUCAUUUCUGGUCAUGUCAGUGUUAUUGAACAGAUCCCACUAAAGAGGCAGAAGGAAAGAAUCAAGGAAUUAUUCUUUUAUAUUAAAGUUUCUGUAAAACAGAAUAUUCCAAUUUAAGAAAUAUAAAUUAAACUUUUUUUGACAUUAUAAUAAUUGGGAAUAUAUAGGAAAGCACUUAUACAUUUUCUUAUUGGGCUUGUGAUCCUAAUUUAAUAAAUUUUCAUCAUACAAUCUUCUACACAUGAUUUCCCAACUUGUAACCUAGUGUCUCUUAUAAAUUUGAAGUUCGAUAUUAGAUUCAUCUGAAUUCAUAUUUUAUAUAUAUAAAAUUGAAUUUAUUUAAAUUUUAUUUUAUUAUUAAUGUCAUUGUAAGUUAACAUAUUUUUGUACAAUCUUUCACACAUUUCUUAAUUUAUAAUGCUCGUUUCUUACAAAUUCAGAGUUAUAAUGCAAUAUUAAAUUUACUGAAUUAAUUUAUACUCAAAGGUGUUUUAUAUGUGAGAUAUCAAACUCAUCUGAAUUUAUAUUUUAACUAAAAAUUGAAAAUUCAUAUGUACAAUGAACUAAAAUUGUAUAUUGUAAAUUGUAACUCAUAAUUUUAAUAUUACGAUAAGUUUGAUAUCAAAAAUCUUAAAAGUUAACCUCUCGAAACUUAAAUUUUAAAAUCCAUCUUCGUUUACUAUGUAUAUUAGUAGUCAAUAAUUCAAUAGUUUUUAUAGAAAUGCAAUUAAAAUAACUAGUUGAUCAAAUUAAAUGUAUCUCUUUGAGAAAUUGAUAUAUAAAUUACUUUUUUUACUCUCUUUUUUCACUCACUGAGUCAUCUGUAUAUAUUUCUUCAGUUAGUUUAUUUUUUCUAUAGACGCUGUCAGAAAUUCAAGUCAGGAUCCAUGACCAUUAUUGGUGUAUAUAUAUACAUAGUGAUUGUCCUCACCGCACUUGUAUAAGCGGGCAGAGAUGGUAGUGACGGUUGUUACAAGUGUUGUGAGGACAAUCACUAUGCAUGUGAAUGUACCUAUGGUGGUCAUUGACCGUGGCUUGAAGUCCUGACUACGUUUGCACAAAAAAUAAACUAAAUGAAGAAUUUUUGGCAUAUAGAGAUGACUCAGUAAGCGAAAAAAAAAAGUGAUUUAUAUAGCAAUUUCUCAAUGCAAUACAUUUAAUUUGGUCAAUUAAUUAUUAAUUACAUUUGUACAAAUAACUAUUGAAUUAUUGACUAAUAAUUUAUAUAAUCAAUACUAUUAACUAGUUAGCUAAAUACUAAAAUUACAUAAAUUUUGACUAGGGAAAUUCUUUCAUUGUCCACUAAAUUUACUUAUCGAAGAGAAUAUUUUCGUUAAUAAAUCAUAAGUCCAUAAUCAAUUAACAAUAUUCAUAGGUAAAUAAAUAACUAAAAACAAAAUUUUUUGAUUUAGCUAAAACAUAUAUAAUUUUUAGAAACAAUGAUUUCUUUUAUAUAUAAAAAUAAGUAAGGUGAAAUAUAUCGCGUAAUUAUUUUGUACAUUCAAGCUCUCUAUUAAACCAAAAUUUUCUUUUCUCCGUUUUUUCAAUUUUUGCUUGGAUUAUUGACAUAUGACAUAAAUUAAAUUUAAUGACUAAUAAUUAAUUUAUUUAAGUAAAUUCUUAAUCAUACUUUUUUAUAUAAUAAAACACAUUAUAUGUUAGUCAAAAUUUCCUCUAAUUAUAGUAUUUUUUUUAAAAAAUCAUGUACAAAAUAAAAUAUACUCCCUUUAGUACAAAAUGAAAUCACUUGAUACGUAAAGGGCCAGAGGCGGAGUCAGAAUUUUCAAUAAAGGGGUUCAAAAUCUGUAGAAACAGAUAAUCGAAGGAGGUUCGACAUUUACUAUAUAUAUACCUACAAACUUAUUUUAACUAUGUAUAAACAAUAUAAUAUUCCGCUGAAGGAAAUUUAAAUAAACCCCCUUCAUACAGAAUAGCUCCGCCCCUGAUAAAGACUAUUCUACUCGUAGCUCGACUUGAUUUGAUUUAAGUAUAUAUUAAUCAAUAGAAUUAAUUAAAUUUGAUUAGGCCCAAAAUUAUUUGACAAAGAUGUCCAACAAUUUUCAUGUCCUAGUAUAUUUGGCAGGUGAAUCAGAAAAAUAAAAUAAAAUCACAACUAGUGGUAAAAUAUUUUAGUGCACUUAGUUAAAUUAAAAUUGAUAACUACUUGACCAGUCACAAAAUCACUAAUAAGUUAGUGGCCACCUAAGAAUUUUAAUCUUUCAGUGCAUGCGAACAAGUGUACAGAUUCCUGGCCAUAAUAUAUAUUUACUCCCUUCGUUUUUUAUCUCAAUUUAUAUGACAUAUUUUAAAUUACUCGAUCUUCAAUUAAGUGUGUCGUUUGAUCUUCUUGUGAUAUAUGAGAAGUAGUGGGGUCACAUAUAGUCGAGGGUACGAUGUUAAUCGACACCAUUUUACUAGAAAACUAUAUUGUGUAACUAGGUAAAAAUAUUAUUCUACAAGAGUAUAAUAUGUUCAUAUCCUUUCGUUUCUAUGUGCUUUAGCAUCUGUAUAUUUUGACAUCUCUCUUGGUAAAAAUUCUGACCCCAUUACUACACAUGAUCAGAGUAUACUAAUUUUAAAAAUUAUAUACAUAAAAGAGUAUCGAAUUUUAUUAAGGAUCACAAAUUCACAUGCCUAAAUUUUUACUUAUAAAUUCACUCAUGCGAUCAGAGCUUUACGUCCAAUCAUUUCGAAUAACGUUUUCAUUCUCUGUAUUAUUACGAUUCAGAAUUAAUCGAUAUUUAAAUUUCUCAUAUAAUGUUAUUAAUUCUUCUCUAAAAAAACUAUUUAAUAAAUUUCUCCGGACUUAAUUCUUCAAAUGUUAAUAAAGUACAAUCUUUAUUAUUAAAAAUUUUUAAAACUCAAAUUCGAGAUCUAUCGAAAAAAAUACAAAGAAUUUUAACCAUGUUAUCGUAACUUUUGGUGAUAGUUACAGUUUGACCGUUAAUAAGAAGUUGUUUGGCACUGUGAAAAUGACAUGUAAAAGGCUGGAUGUAUUAUAUUCUAGUGGGGGAUUUGCUGAUGUUGCAUUGGGGCCAAAGGUAGAAAAUAAAAUAAAUAAUAAUAAUAAGUACUAUCUUAUUGGUUUAAGAAAAAAAAUAAUAUCUUAUUGACUAAUAAUAAUACAAAAUCUAUUUAAAAUGGUGAAAAUUUAUAUUGAAUGGUCCAGCUAGUAAUAUUAUUCGUUUUAAGCUAAGAUUAGCAUGGAGUUACAACAUAUCAAAUGAAAAUCAUUUAUAAUUUUUCUAUCUGAUCUGCAUUUACUCAAUUCUUUAAUUUUCAUGUCCUACCUAUAAAUUUUGGCUAAUUUGUUAUUGUUAAUUUAUUGUUAUGGUAUAAAAUCCAUAUUACUGACCAUAUAUAACUAUAUAGUUUGGUAUUAUAUUUUUUCUACAAAGUUUUUUUUUUUACAAUCAAAUGACAGUAGUAAGAAUAUUAUUACUCCUACAUUAUAUUUAACUUUAUUAUAUGUAAAAUUCAAAGUACUUUCUAGGUCAUUUUGCAUUUGACAUGUAAAGAUGAUUUGGAUUCUCACUAUUAAAUACUAUUUUUUUUAAUCAUGAUAAAAAAAUUAAAGCAGUUUCGUGUUAACUUAGUUGUACUAAUUUUAGUUUAUAAUUAUUAUUUAAUUAAUUAAUCCUAAGAGGUGAUCUGAAUUAGCCAAAUUGUAUAUCACUAGAUGCUGUGUGUAAUCCAUUAUAUGAACUCUGCCACAAAUUAAAGUUGAUUAAUUAGUGGUUAUGAUCAUCUUUUUGCAUCAUCCCCCUAACUAAAUUACAAUUCUAUACUUAGGAAAUUUAUUUAAUUAUACAAAAACCCAUAAUCUUGUGACACCAUUUUCAGGCAGGAUUAACACACUUUUCAUUUACUUUUUUAAAAAAAAUUCAAUUUUCGUACUUAAGAUGUGGUGCAGUAAAUAAAGUUAUUUCUCUCUUAAUUAAAGAUUUCAUAUUCGAGUUCAGCGUAUGAAAAAUUAUCUUUGAUAGAGAGUAGCUCCCUCUGAAUAAAGCUCUGUGUGACGAAAAUUUAAAUUAGUCGAACUCCAAUAUAAUUUUUUUUUUUUUGGGAACACUCAAGGCAACAAAAAUAAUAAUUAUUUUAUAUAUAUAUUAUUAUUAUUUUCUUUUCACUAGGAUGAUUGUCAAUUGCUACCAUAAUAAGUUUAAUUAUUUUAUGCUAAUCCUAAGUCAAAUCCUAAUCUUAAUGAUUUUAUCCAUAUGCAAACCGAUCCAAAUUUGGAUGAUGAGAGAAUAUAUUUUAUUUUUUAAAAAUAAGUAAACAAAAUCAUGAUGAUUAUGAAGAGUACUUAAUUAGACUAAUAAGAUUUAAAUAUUAAAAACUCAAAUCAAUAAAUGGUCAAAGCUCACAAACAGCUCUAUAUUUUAUUGUUACUUAAUCAAUUUUAAGGUACUACUAGUUAUCUUUAAUUUAAGUCAAUGUGAUUUAAUGUUGAGUUGGAAAAGCACAUAUUCAAGGUAGAUUUUGUAUUUUUUUUCCAAUUUUAUGUACUCAUUAUGUAUAAAAUAUUUAUAUAAUCAGAUAAAUUUAUUAAGUACAAUUACAUUCAUAUAUAUAUAUAUCUCGAUAGUAUUUCUCUAUUGGUGAGUCAGUAAAAAUAUUAAUCGGUGAAUAAAUUUAUAUUGGUAAUUCAUAUACCUCCUAUCAGUAGUAUUAACUAUUCAAUUUUAAAGUAAAACAAUUCAUUUUUAACUAGAGAUUUCGAGUUUGAGCUUUUGAGAAUAAAAUUCUUAUUGAGAGUGUCGACCUGAUAAUAAAUCAUGCAAUAAGUAAAUUUUAAUUUACUUGAUUUCAAUACAAAUAUCGAACGAUAAAUUAAAUAAAAUAGAACAAUCCCCUUGUAAAUGUUCCAUUGUUGGCUAAGCAAAGCAAGUUAGGUGCAUUUCCAAUUUCCCCCAAAUGUGUCACAUGACAACUCAUUUCAUUAAUUAUUAAAUUACGUGAGGUAAAGAAUGAGAUUGUUUCUGUUUUAAUUAGAGGUCUUGAAUUCAAAUUCUCAAUGUAGAAAAUAUUUUUGAUAGAAAGCGCUACUCUCAUAUGGGGGUCUUAUUAGGCGUGAAUCUGAAUUAGUCGAACUUUAAUAUGAAUAUCAAACACAGAAAAAAGAACCAAAAAAAGACAACUCAUUUAAAUUUCCCUUUAAUAACUAUAAAUAAAUAUUAAUUUUAAAGUAUUCAACCACCUUUGAAAAAAAAAGGAAACCUUUAAGUCAAAAUUUAUAUAUUUAUUCUUAAUUAAUUUUUUUAUGACGAAAUGUAAGUGUUAUUGUGCUAAAAAAAUAUGUGAAUCAAAAAAGAAAAAAUUGAUGGUGGCUUGAAGCAAAGCAAAGUUGGUACAGAGCACUGUUGGAGAAUUUAAUUAAUUUAAUUAACACGUAAUUAAAUAAUUAAUUACUUUAUCAAAAAAAAUAUAAAAAAAAUAAUUAAUUUAAAACCCUACCAUUGUAUCUAAUUACGUAAUUUUUUUGUCCUUAAUACUAAAACGGUAAUGGUUUUUUGAUGGAGAAAAGCUGUAAAUCUUUCUGAUUUAAGUGGAGACAUCUUUAGCCAUAAUUAAAAAUUUGUUUAAUUAUUUUUUAAUUAAAAAAUUUAAUUAAUCAUGUAUUUAACACAUUAUAAAUAAACCAGCUGGCAAAUAUUAUAAUAUAAUUCAUUUGGCAGCUUUACUUUGCUACUUUGCACUUCACAACAUAAUUUAGCACAUAUAACAUAGAAUCUUUUGGACACAUUUUGCAAGAUUUGAUUAUAUAUAAGUAUUUUAUUUUUAAAGAUCCAACAAUAUUCUUCUAAUUAAGGUUUGAUAAUUAAUUAAAAGAUAAUAAACGUGAUUAAUUUUAAUUAUUCCAUAUUUAAAUAAAUUAUAUUCAUGUUCGAACAUGUAUAAUCCUAGUUUCAUGUCAAAUAAAAGACCAAUUUUCUCUCCCACAACGAAUGUAGGACUUUUAACACUUUUCAUAUGCUCAGAACUAGACAUUUAGAGUGUGAAUAAAAUAAAAUGAACUCAAACAUCGAGAAAUGAAAAUUAGGAUAGUCAAACUCUGAUACUAUAUACGAUAAAAAACCUGGAUCGAACAUAGUGUUGAUGUUCAUAGACCAAAGAAUGUGAUGUCAACACUACUAAAUGUUCAUGAUAAUGAUUUUACGUUAUAUACUUAGCCUUUGUCACUCUCCAAAGGACAAUAUAGUUUAGUUAUAUAUCGACCUUGGCUAAACAAAUUAUAUUAAUAUUUCCUAUGUAUAUAUUUUAAUUUAUUUAUUUUGGGAUCUUGCAUUUUUGAGAUAUAAGAUAUAGUAGUACGUAGUUCGAACACUAAAUAAAUUAUUAAUCUACACUUUUUAAAGUAAAUUAUUAAUUAAUUCAAGUGAUCCAUAAGUAGUGGGCACAAAACCUUAGGGUUAUUGAGCCAUAGAAAGAUGUUUUUAUAAGAAAAACAAAGUAUUGUUAUCUUGGUUUGCACUAAGUUUGAUCAUCACAAUUAUUGGUUGAUCAAAAAUCCAAUUGACAACUACGUUGAUAUUUAGGUAAAGUAUUAAUAUAUAUAUAUAUAUAUAUAUAUAAAUGGUUUGGAUCGAUCGGUUGAGACUACUAGAUUCGAUAUUUUUAGUUGAGGAUAUAAUAGGGGGAAAUACAAUAUGAAGAAUUCAAAGUUCCACCAACAAGAUGAAUAAUCAGGUAGUGAAUCAACUAAUUUAUGAUGAUUUCUCAGAAACAACAAGUAGCUCGAGCUCUUACAAAAUAUGGAUGAAUGUGCAUUGGAUCCUCCAUAAUAAUGUAAUUUGGAAGAGUCCUAAAAAGCAACAUAUAUGAUUUGAAGGGAAAUUAACUUACGGAAUUUCCACUAGUUUAGGAGCUACUUACUACAGUCUACUUUGCAAUAUUACGAAUCAUAUAAGAUUUUAGUGCGUCUAGAUACAUGUAUCCUAAGAUACAUGAGAACAAAUUAGGUGUAAUUUGUUCUAGAUACAGUGUAUCUCAAUGGAUUCGCAUGUACUUGGUAUACAUAGACAAAUCUCACUCACCUCUUUCUCAUCUCGUCCUUCACUCUCCUAUGUAUCUAGCAUCUCAAAUAUAUGUGAAUCACGUCAAAUACAUAUAUCUCAUUCACCUCCUUCUCAUCUCGCAUGCCUCUCUCUAUAGUUUAGUGCAUCGAGUAACAAAAAUAUAUAUAUAUAUUUAAGUGUAUCUUUCUUCAAUAUAUAAUAGAAACCUCUUAAUUAGUGGUUGAAUAUAUAAUUACUUUAAACUACAUAAGUAUAUAUAUGGAUAUAUGUCCAUUAAAAUGUUUUUCCUUGUUAAAAACCUUGAAUCUUUUUAUUGGUUUGUUGAAAUUUCUAAAAAUUUAUUGGUUAGAAAGAGAUAUAUCAUGAGCACUUAUGUAUCUCCUUCUUAUAUUAUUAAUUAUUAUUACAUCCACUAAUAUACUGUUUCAAUCUCUCCCUUAGCUCAGGAUCACCAAACCCUAAUUCCAUUUGCCCCACCCUCCCACCUCUAAAGAUUCUCAAUAAUUCUUCAAUUCUACUUUCCACUUGUCCAAUUUGAUCUUGAAUCAAUGUUAUUCAAUGAACUUCAUACUGUUAAUUUAUUGAGUAUAGAUGCCGCUUCGUGAUUUGAAAUUUAUUGAUUCUAAAUUUGAACUUACGGUACAGGGGUGGAGCCAGAAUUUAAAGUUUAUUUAGGAUUCUGAGUUUAAAUUCAGGAGAAGAGGCGAAAUUAAGGUUUAAUGUUAAUAUAUGGGUUCUAAACUUAACUAAGUUUAGGAGCAAAGACAGAGUUUACGAUUUUAAAUUUAUAUAUUCAAAAUUUUAGCUUUUUAAGUUUAAGUUCUAAAUUAAUGAUUUAUAUGCAUUCAAUAAAUUACUUAUGACAAAUAUAGGAUGUGGAUCAAAGUUAUUGAAUUAGGCGGAAAAUGUAACCAAAAUCCUUGUUUAUGGCUUACUAAAGUUUAUUAUAUAUACAUAUCGAGUAAAUUUUUGGACAAGUGUAUAUAAUUAACAUUCGAUAAAAACUUAUUAAAUUCUGUCAAACUUGUACGCUCCACCUAGAUUGAGGAUGGAGAAAACAUGUCCUCCUCCUCCAUCAUCUUCAUGUAUAGAUAAAGACCUUAAAUUUCCUAUCUUGAUUGUCCACUUUUUCCAACUUUCCAUCUCAAAAGAGACAAUUUGUCUCAAAAUUAGUAAAAUGGUCUAUAAUAUCUUUUUUAAGUGAUCUCAACACUAUCUACUAUAUCAUUAAAUCUUUGUUAAUUACAACAUUAAUACUAUCUCAAAUAUCAAUGAUUAAUGGUGUGUGUGAAUUAUGUCACAUUGACAUGUCCAAGAAACAAAACAAUGAGAGUGAUAAAAAAAAAUAAGCAUGUUUGACCUUCUUACGAAUUGAACGAUUUAAAUAUAACAUACGCUGUAUAUAGGAUUCUCAUGAUGCAUAUAAUAAGUCUUUAUAUAUAUAAGUGAUAUUAUGAUCCACAUUACACAUAGCACAAAUUUAAAAUAGAUAUAUUAUUAAAUGAUCUUUAUUAUUUUAUCGAUACGAAAUUUGCCUAGAUUAUUAUAUUAUUGGGAUAUUGAGUGGGGAACAUUGGUAUUGCAUUUAAUAUGUUUAUAAGGCUAGUAAAGAAAAGUUAAAAAGGCAUUUGAGUAUAUAUGUUUUUAGUGGUUGCUUUAUUGAGACCUUCGAUAGGGACAUUAGACAUUACCACAAAGCCAAAAACAUUGAUGAAAAUUAAAAUAGUGAGAGACCACUUCAAUAAUAUUAUAAUAAGUAUAUAAAAUAUAGUCAAUUAAAUAUAUCCACACAUUGCUUUUUUAGUGGAUGGUUCUAUUUAUUUAGAAAUAUAAUACGUUUCUUAAAAGAUUCAAUGAUUUGAGAACAUAAUUUUACUAUUUUUUGAGUUCUUUUACGACUCUAUAUAUCGAUUAUAAUAUAGUAUAUGUAGAUCUUUUAAGUCAUAUUAUAUAUUUGUAUUAGUAGCAUUUUUUAUUAAUUAGUUUUGGGUAAAUUCAUACUAAAUAUAUAUGGAUUAGCUUGCUUUGUUACUUAGUAAACGAUAAUAUAGUUCUAUAAAUAAUUAAUUAUAACAUCGUUUUGACAUGAAGGGGUAUCAAAAGCACACAUUUUAAUUGAUUAACUGAAAAUUAAACAUAUUGAAUCGUAUAUCACAUAAAUCAAGAUAAAAUUUAUUAAUAAUUUAAAGAUUAAACUAUUAUUAUCCCCGUAUAAUAUUUUAGGACAUAGUAUUAUAUUAUAAUUUAUAUGUCAAGAUUUAAGAAAAAUAUUUUAAAAAGGUCCCACAGUUUGAAUCUUUGACCAAUGAUUUGGAGUAUUUAUGGACUUAAUGAAUCAUAAGCCACAUACUAUCUUAAUAAUGAAUAAUUCUCCAAUUACAGAAAUAGAAACCACUAAAAAAAGUUUUGGUUAUUUAAAAUAAUAAUUAAAAAAGGACACAUAGUGUAAACACUAAUAGUGCUGAAGUCAUAAAAUUAGUUAAAGCAUUUAUAUAGAAAAAAAUAAUAUUGUCUUGUCCCAACUGAUAUAUAGUAAAGUUGCAAGAGGUCAACCGAAUUUAAUUUCAAUAUUUUUCAUUCAAAAUCACAUUAUAACAAAAACAAUAUAUUCAUUACAAAGUAAAAUAUCGCGAGUGAAAUCUAAAAAGGAUAAAGAGCACGUGGAUCUUGAAAGUGCAAGUCACAUUAAUCAUUAUAAUCUCAUGAGUAAAAUCUGAGAGAUCAUCUUCAAUAGACCCUCGACUUCAAAAUCAUAUUAGUAGUUGUAAAAUAUGUGGCGGGCAAAAAAGGUGGAGGUUUAUUUGGAGCAAUCCGUCAAGCUUUUACUGGACUUGAUAGACACCGACUCGUUAUCCUUCCACUACACAGAGCGGGAGCUGUUUACUGCUCUAUGAAGCCAGCCUCGUGCGAUCCGCCCCACUUUAGGAAUCAAGAAGCCCAUACUUACAUUUGGGCCUCAUUAUCCAACACUGUGCUUGGAUAGGGCAGGCCAGAAAUAAGCCCAUCAAGCCCAACCAUUUGGUUAAGCCCAAUAUUCUACCACCUUAAUGCCGGGUUACAAGCCCACGUUACUAAGCUCGACGUGCAACAAAGUGUCAUAGAUUAUUAUAAAUUCAUUAACAUAUGGCGAUGUGGGAAAAAUUAUAAAUUCCAUGAGAGGCAAUAAAGAGAGUUAUAUUUAGUUUAAUGUUGCACCAUUUCUUACUUUAUUUUCAUUUUGUACGAAUUGUACGUUUCAUAUAAUUGCUUAUUUCUUGUAUUUUGCUUUCAUACUUAAAUUUUGUGAUGUUAUACUUGAGUUGAGGGCUUAUUGGAAAGAGGUUUUUUGUCCUCACUAAGUAAAGAUUAGAUUGCGUACACAUUAAUAUUAUCAAACUUCACUUGUGAAAUUACAUUGAGUGUGUCGUUGUUGUAUUUUAUCUUGUACGACAAUGGCAUGAGUUGAGUUUAAUGAAGUGACGAGAAUUCAUAUAGCCGAUCCCAACUUAUUUAAAAUUGAGGGACCAAAUUCCGUUAAUAUUUCCCAUGUUAAAUUCGUGUUUUGAAUCAUUUCUUGCUUCGUUGUAGAAAGAAGAAAACUUAUAUAUUUGUUUUGUGAUUUUGAGACAUAAGAAAACUUAUAUAUUUGUUUUGUGAUUUUGAGGCAUAAGAUCUAAUAAUAUUAACUUCUUUUAAAUGACAAUACUUUUGUUGUGCUUCAUGAUUUACAUCCCAACAACCUAUGUGGUUUGAAUGAGUCAUUUUCUUCGUUCUUAAUCAAAGAUCUCAAAUUUGAAUCACAUGUAUAAAGAAUUCAAAUUAUCAAUCUUUUUACAAGGAUUUCGUACUCAAUAUAUAUAUAUAUAUGUGUGUGUGUGUGCAUAAAAUAACGGAAUAAGUAAGAACUUACAAUAUAAUUUUCGAUUGCACUGAUGAAAAUAUUGUGUGAAAAUCCUGAUUAGGCUGUAUAAAGAAUUCAAAUUAUCAACCUUUUUACAAGGAUUUCGUAUUCAAUAUAUAUAUAUAUAUAUAUGCAUAAAAUAACGGAAUAAUUAAGAACUUACAAUAUAAUUUUCGAUUGCACUGAUGAAAAUAUUGUGUGAAAAUCCUGAUUAGGCUGUAUAAAGAAUUCAAAUUAUCAACCUUUUUACAAAGAUUUCGUACUCAAUAUAUAUGCAUAAAAUAACGGAAUACUUAAGAACUUACAAUAUAAUUUUCGAUUGCACUGAUGAAAAUAUUGUGUGAAAAUCCUAAUUAGGCAAAAAAAGAUUUCGUACUCAAUAUAUAUGCAUAAAAUAACGGAAUACUUAAAAACUUACAAUAUAAUUUUCGAUUGCACUGAUGAAAAUAUUGUGUGAAAAUCCUAAUUAGGCAAAAAAAAGGUGGUUGUUUAUUGGAGCAACCCAUUAGGCGUUACUGAACUUGAUAAGACACCGACCCAUUAUCCUUCCACUGCACAGAGCGGGAGCUGUUCACUGCUCUGUGAAGCCAGCCUCAUGCGGUCCGCCCCGCUUUAGGAAUCAAGAAGCCCAUAUUUUCAUUUGGGCCUCGUGAUCCUACUCUGUGCUUGGACAGGGCAGGCCAGAACUAAGCCCACCAAGCCCAACCUUCUGGUAAAGCCCAAUAUUCAACCACUUUGAUGUCUCCACUUGGAUUACAAGCCCACGUUACUAAGCUCAACAUACA